ensembl:lncRNA
AUGUCAUUAUUUAGCAUAAUACACUUCCAAAUCUGUCACAUCUGUCUGCCACUCAUAUCCAGUCAUCAGUCAGCCACUCAUAUCCAGUCAUCAGUCAGCCACUCAUAUCCAGUCAUCUGUCUGCCACUCAUAUCCAGUCAUCUGUCUGCCACUCAUAUCCAGUCAUCUGUCUGCCACUCAUAUCCAGUCAUCUGUCUGCCACUCAUAUCCAGUCAUCUAUCUGUCACCUGUCUGCCACUCACAUCCAGUCCUCUGUCUGCCACUCAUAUCCAGUCAUCUGUCUGCCACUCAUAUCCAGUCAUCUGUCUGCCACUCAUAUCCAGUCAUCUGUCUGCCACUCAUAUCCAGUCAUCUGUCUGCCACUCAUAUCCAGUCAUCAGUCAGCCACUCAUAUCCAGUCAUCUGUCUGCCACUCAUAUCCAGUCAUCUGUCUGCCACUCAUAUCCAGUCAUCUGUCUGCCACUCAUAUCCAGUCACCUGUCUGCUACUCAUAUCCAGUCACCUGUCUGCCACUCAUAUCCAGUCACCUGUCUGCCACUCAUAUCCAGUCAUCUGUCUGCCACUCAUAUCCAGUCAUCUGUCUGCCACUCAUAUCCAGUCAUCUGUCUGCCACUCAUAUCCAGUCACCUGUCUGCCACUCAUAUCCAGUCAUCUGUCAGCCACUCAUAUCCAGUCAUCUGUCUGCCACUCAUAUCCAGUCAUCUGUCUGCCACUCAUAUCCAGUCAUCUGUCUGCCACUCAUAUCCAGUCAUCUGUCUGCCACUCAUAUCCAGUCAUCUGUCUGCCACUCAUAUCCAAUCAUCUGUCUGCCACUCAUAUCCAGUCAUCUGUCUGCCACUCAUAUCCAGUCAUCUGUCUGCCACUCAUAAUCCAGUCAUCAGUCAGCCACUCAUAUCCAGUCAUCUGUCUGCCACUCAUAUCCAGUCAUCUGUCUGCCACUCAUAUCCAGUCACCUGUCUGCCACUCAUAUCCAGUCAUCAGUCAGACACUCAUAUCCAGUCACCUGUCUGCCACUCAUAUCCAGUCACCUGUCUGCCACUCAUAUCCAGUCACCUGUCUGCCACUCAUAUCCAGUCACCUGUCUGCCACUCAUAUCCAGUCACCUGUCUGCCACUCAUAUCCAGUCACCUGUCUGUCACUCAUAUCCAGUCAUCUGUCUGCCACUCAUAUCCAGUCAUCUGUCUGCCACUCAUAUCCAGUCAUCUGUCUGCCACUCACAUCCAGUCAUCUGUCUGCCACUCACAUCCAGUCAUCUGUCUGCCACUCAUAUCCAGUCAUCAGUCAGCCACUCACAUCCAGUCAUCAGUCAGCCACUCACAUCCAGUCAUCUGUCUGCCACUCACAUCCAGUCAUCUGUCUGCCACUCACAUCCAGUCAUCUGUCUGCCACUCACAUCCAGUCAUCUGUCUGCCACUCACAUCCAGUCAUCUGUCUGCCACUCACAUCCAGUCAUCUGUCUGCCACUCACAUCCAGUCAUCUGUCUGCCACUCACAUCCAGUCAUCUGUCUGCCACUCAUAUCCAGUCAUCAGUCAGCCACUCAUAUCCAGUCAUCAGUCAGCCACUCAUAUCCAGUCAUCAGUCAGCCACUCACAUCCAGUCAUCAGUCUGCCACUCACAUCCAGUCAUCUGUCUGCCACUCACAUCCAGUCAUAUGUCUGCCACUCAUAUCCAGUCAUCAGUCAGCCACUCAUAUCCAGUCAUCAGUCAGCCACUCAUAUCCAGUCAUCAGUCAGCCACUCAUAUCCAGUCAUCAGUCUGCCACUCAUAUCCAGUCAUCUGUCUCCACUCAUAUCCAAUCAUCUGUCUGCCACUCAUAUCCAGUCAUCAGUCAGCCACUCAUAUCCAGUCAUCUGUCUGCCACUCAUAA